rnacentral:lncRNA from 1 species
UCCUAACCGUUUCCAAACCGGUCGCCUCUCAGAACUGCGGCUGCGCCUCUGGCUUAUGCUGCAGCAGUGCUGGUUACUGUGGAACCACCGACGCGUACUGCGGCGAGGGAUGCAAAGAAGGACCUUGCAAGAACAGCGGUCCCGGAGAUCCAACUGUUUCACUUGAAGAAACUGUGACACCUGAGUUCUUCAACUCUAUACUAAGCCAAGCAACAGAGAGUGACUGCAAAGGUAGAGGAUUCUACACCCACGAAACCUUUAUGGCUGCAGCUAAUGCCUAUCCGAGCUUCGGUGCUACCAUCUCCAAACGUGAAAUCGCUGCCUUCUUUGCUCACGUUGCUCAGGAAACAGGAUGUAAGUAAUUCUUUACGAUAAUUAAAUUCAUAAUUCUUUUUGGAACUAUCACAAUAUUUUGAUACUUCUCUAGAGUUUCCAGUUUUCAUACAUGGAUAUUAGGUUAUUAUUAUGCAGUUUUUUAUUAUUUGGUUUUCAUUUUAGGAUUAUAAACAUAUACUCCUUCUGAUUCAUACAGAGUAUUGUUUUGACACUUUUCUUGUUAUACAAAAUGUGUCAUUUUAAAAUUCUAGUUCAUUUUUAAUAAAAUUCUACUCAUAGUUUUUAAUUGUAAAAACUAAAAAUGUUUUGAUUUUAUAAAUAUAUUUAAUUUUCUCAAAUACUAAUAGCUAAAUAAAUGUAAUUCUUAACGGCACAAAUUGAUUUUAACCAUUUUUCCUAAUUUUUGUGAAAGUAUCAAAAUUACAUUUUUAUGAAACAGAGGAGAAAAUAUAAAUUACGAUUUUCAUUGGUUCAGUUUGACUAAAACUAACCCAUCAUUAAAAAAAAUCAGUUAGAUUAUAUACAGAUUUUGGUUCGAGUUAUCAUAUAUGCUUACCAGUUACCACUAGGAUUCGCUUUUAGUCAUUUGGUUAUAUUACCUUGUUACAGUCCUGUGCCACAUUGAGGAAGUCGAUGGACCAGCGAAGGCCGCACGUGGAGAAUACUGUGACACAACAAAACCAGAGUUCCCAUGUGUACCAGGAAAGGGCUACUACGGUCGUGGUGCGAUCCAGCUCUCUUGGAACUACAACUAUGGUCCUUGUGGCAGAGACCUGAACGAGGGAGACUUAUUGGCUACACCAGAGAAAGUGGCUCAAGACCAGGUUCUUGCCUUCAAGGCCUCUUUCUGGUACUGGACCACUAAUGUUCGCUCGAGUUUUAAAUCGGGCUUUGGCCCGACAAUCAAGGCUGUGAAUAGUAUGGAGUGUACCGGAACAGGAGUUCCUAGUGAAACAGCUGCUAACAGGAUUAGGUACUUUCAAGACUAUUGUAUGAAGCUUGACGUUCUACCUGGAGAAAACCUCACUUGUUAAGGUUUCUCUCUAUCCAUCUGAAACAGCCAAUGUUGGCAAUAUAAGAAUAAGAGAUCACAGAAGAGAAAGUAUCAUACUAGUAUAGUUGUUGUAAUAAUGUAAUCAUGAAACGAUUUCCAUUUAUGCAUAGGCACAUGGGAUUUUAGAACAGAGGUUCCAUUAUUGUGAACUUAUCACCAACACACAUUGGAUGUAUCUCUGUGUUUACAUUUAAAUGCAUGAAUAUUCAUAAGAUGUCACUCCUAGCUUCAAUUCGAUUUACUGUUAAACACAAACGAACAGAAAACACAAACUGAAGCGAACUCGUUUUAAUACCACACAUGAACAUGUCGACGAUGACACACACAAGCAGACACAUGCAAUUUUAACAGAAGAAUGAAACUUUCAACUGCAGCUAAAUCGUGUAGCGAUCAUUUAAUUUAGUUGCACGUUGUAACUUGUAACCCAAAUAAACCAUUCUGAUAAAAAAUAUCAGAACGAGUGGUCUAUGUAGACAAGUAACGUACGGUCCACCAUAUUAAAUAAUUUCAUCCGACUAUAUAUAGGGCCCAUAAUUUACUUUUCAUUAGUUUCAAUCUUUCAAAAUAUCAAUAGAUUGAUUAUUUGAAUUUAUAGCUUUUUUCAAUUGUUGAUAUGGUCUUAGGAUUUUUGUGUACCAAGAUAUCAAAGUUGGACAGGUCCCUAGUCCUCGGUUGGUUUUCAGGUAACGAACUGAACCAAACCAAAUGAAUAGCUGACGAAACCGUAUUCUCAUCCUCGUCGCCCAGAUCUAUGUGUAUAAGGUUUCAAAUGUUGUAAGUUACUGCUAAUUAUGUGGCUAUGGCCUAUGGUUCCAUUAGGGAAAUUCUUGAACAGAUCCAUACAAACCAAAAUUCCAAACCAUGCGAGUCUUAGUCUCUUAGAUACUUCCAGGCUUUUUAUUUCACAUAUUCAUUGUUACAUCAUUACUUAGACCACCGCUUACACAUUUUAUUAUUACACAAACCAUCACGCAUGAAUGAUUCAAAUACCGCCACUUAGAAUCUGGUGAGAAAUUUCGUCGCUGCAGUAUUCGCAUAAGCAUUUAACAGAAUCAGGGGAAUCUCCCCAACGGCAUAUCCCACCUUUCGCGCCCUUGUCCUCACGGCAUCUUGUAUAACAAAACGACGGAUAAAUCCGAGGCGCACAGAAGUUGAAACCCACGUUGCCUCCGUAUUCUUUCAGGCACUCGCUAUCCUGCGCUUUUAUCUCCGGCACUUCUGCUCAUUAUAUAUAUAGAAUGUUUUAGAAAAUAGUAAGCACAUACUAUGAUAAAUCGCGCUGCAUGAUUAAAACUUUUGAGAUCCUAUGAACCAGACAGAGUUAAAUAAAUAUGUGAAAUAAAUGCGGUAUUAGUUUUGAUUCUUUUUGGUAAAAAUAGGUGUUAGUUACUUUACCAAAAAUAAUCAAAACGAGGAUGAAAAUGAGGGUGAAGGAAGAAACUGAUUUUGUAUUUGUUGCCAUGGCCAUCUUAUCUCUGUCUCUAUGUCUGCUCUUUACUCUCUCUCUAUAUAACUUUGGAGUUAAUGUAUGUGUAAAAUGAACCCCGGUGUGCUAUUUAUCUUUGUCGUUGGAGCAAAAAGUAAAUCAUUAAAGUUAUUUAGCUGCCAUCACUCAGUAUUUUAAAUAUAUAUACAUACAUGUAUAUAUAUGAGUUGUAACUACUUUUUUAAGUUUAUCAUAUGCCUGAAAAACGUGCUAAAAUUGAUUUGUUUGUAAUAUGAAAGGUUUUCUUGUAAGAAAUUAUUACUCUAGGCCCAGCCCAGUAUUUUAUUCUAAAAGCUCAAUACAUACUAAAGAUGGAAACCAAAUUGAACCAGAAAAUUGAACAAACCCGAGUUAAAUCAAGAACCGAACCAGGAACAAAUCCACCUGGCUCAGUAUAUUUUUGAUUUGAUUUUCAGCAUUUUACAUAUGGUUUCCACCUGUUUUAAAAUCAUCAAAUUUAAAAUUAUGGUAUUUUUAUUAUAUUUUUAUUAUCCAGUUUAAGCAGUAAAAGGAUUAUACUUUUUAAUUUAUAUAUUCAUUGUUUUGCUAGAUAAUUUCAGUACGACGUUCAUCUUCUUGCAAUUUUUAUCAUCUAACCAGUACUUGUUUUAUCUACAUCAGUCAAGUUGUAUUUAGAAAGAUUUCAAUAUAAUUAACUUGUUUUUCAAAAAAAACAACAAAAAUAUUGAAUUCAUGACCGACAUGAAAUUUGUUUGGUCAUUGACCUAUUUUGUAAUUGUACGAAGGGUUUAUUGACUUGAACUAAAAUCUUAAGAGCAUCUCCAAUGAAUUAACGGAUUUAUGUAAUAUACAAUGAAAAUUUAAAUGUCGUUUGGAACAUUUGAAUUUUCUCCACGUACCGUGGCGACUAGGCUAGUACUAAAUUGUUGCGUGGCGUUGACGCUUGACUUCAAGUUCACAAUAGGUUCCCUUCUCAUUACCAUCAUUGUCUUUGCUUCUCCUAUAAAACGCGGAGCUAAUGUACCUUCAUCUACCUCACACACACACACACAGAAAAAACAACGAUGAAGUACGCUAAAACCACAUCACGAAAUGACCAGUUUGCUUUUUUACUCACAACUCUUUUCUUCCUCAUCCUAGCCGUGUCCAAACCGGUUGCCUCUCAGAACUGCGGCUGCGCCUCUGGCUUAUGCUGCAGCAGUGCUGGUUUCUGUGGGAUGACCGACGAGUACUGCGGCGAGGGAUGCAAAGAAGGACCUUGCAAGAACAGCGGUCCCGGAGAUCCAACUGUUUUACUUGAAGAAACUGUGACACCUGAGUUCUUUAACUCUAUACUAAACCAAGCAACAGGGAGUGACUGCAAAGGUAGAGGAUUCUACACCCACGAAACCUUUAUGGCUGCAGCUAAUGCCUAUCCGAGCUUCGGUGCUACCAUCUCCAAACGUGAAAUCGCUGCCUUCUU